CAGAAACAGUUCGUUUCUUUCGUUUCUCUUCCAUCCUAUUUUCCUUUUUACAUACGAAAGUAUUAAUGAUUAAUUCAACUUGAUUUUGAUUUCAUCUUUUCCCCUAAAUCGAGUUUCGAACAACCUAAGUGGUAUAAUUUUGAUUAGGGUUCAUUUAUUUCAUUUUCUCCCCCAAACUUAUACUAGGGAUGCACCAAAUCCAAUUGAUGAUUUUGAUGACCACCCAAAUCGAGCUCCAAUUCCAGUUCAGUUUUUUAUCACCAUUAUUAUCAGGGUGAACCAGAAACAAAGAUGGAUACAUCCCAAAGUCGUUUUGCCACUCGAAGAACAACAAGCUACUAAAAGAGAAAGGUGUCGUGUUGGCAAAAUGAGGUGUCAGAUGAGGUGAAGUUGCCACAAAAGAGCGUAGGAGAAAUUAGUAGAGAGCUAGGCAGUCUAGGCAGCAAAAUGUGGAAAACCGAAAUCAUGAAAGACCAAGAUGAGUCACGUGGAGAAUACUCAAUCUAAUCAUAGAUAGCAGAAGAAGAAGGUGAACAUGAUGAACAUCAUUGCCUAACAGGAGGUUUCAUCAAUCUGCAAGGAAUUUUUUCGAGUUACAGAGUUAAAGUUUUGAUGGUAUUGUUGUGUGUCAUACUUUUGUAAAAAUAGAAGAUACGUUCAAGAAAGCUAGCGUUAUGUAUACUUUUGCGAAUAGAAAAUAUGUACGUACGUAAAAGCUAGCGUUUGCCGACGUGCACG